rnacentral:lncRNA from 1 species
GUAAGAAGAGCUUCAAACAAAUUAUUCAUUGUUAAACAUUUCACAUUUGCAGGUAAGGCUCUGUGAAGACACUGCUUCCAUGGCGACACACAGAGUGGUUCUCUGUUUGAGGUGAAUCUCCAUGGCAUCCACCAGCAGCGCCACACCUGGACCCAGGGCAUGCAGAGCCGUUCCUGGGUCAACAGAUGCCUCUUGAGCAAACUGUGGCUCUUCUGUUACCUAAACAACUCUUUAGGACAGCAGCUGCAGAGGCGCAUCCACAGUCUGCCACCAAGACUACGUGACUGAGCUUCCCAGGU